ensembl:snRNA U6 U6 spliceosomal RNA
GUUCUCACUUCAGCAGCACAUAUACCAAAAUUGGAAUGAUACAGAGAUUAGUAUGGCCUCUGUGCAAGGAAGAUAUACAAAUUCAUGAAGCAUUCCAUAUUUUU